rnacentral:rRNA from 1 species
UGGGGAAUCUUGCACAAUGGGGGCAACCCUGAUGCAGCGACGCCGCGUGAGCGAUGAAGCCCUUCGGGGCGUAAAGCUCUUUCGACCGGAACGAUAAUGACGGUACCGGGAGAAGAAGCUGCGGCUAACUACGUGCAGCAGCCGCGGUAAUACGUAGGCAGCAAGCGUUGUUCGGAGUUACUGGGCGUAAAGAGUGCGUAGGCGGUUUUCUAAGUUCGGUGUGAAAUCUCCCGGCUUAACUGGGAGGGUGCGCCGAAGACUGGGAAGCUGGAGUGUGGGAAAGGCAGGCGGAAUUCCUGGUGUAGCGGCGAAAUGCGUAGAUAUCAGGAGGAACACCGGCGGUGUAGACGGCUUGCUAGACCAUAACUGACGCUGAGGCACGAAAGCGUGGGUAGCAAACA